rnacentral:rRNA from 1 species
CAUGAACGCUAGCUACAGGCUUAACACAUGCAAGUCGAGGGGAAACGAUAUUGGAAGCUUGCUUCCGAUAGGCGUCGACCGGCGCACGGGUGAGUAACGCGUAUCCAACCUGCCCACCACUUGGGGAUAACCUUGCGAAAGUAAGACUAAUACCCAAUGAUAUCUCUAGAAGACAUCUGAAAGAGAUUAAAGAUUUAUCGGUGAUGGAUGGGGAUGCGUCGGAUUAGCUUGUUGGCGGGGUAACGGCCCACCAAGGCGGCGAUCAGUAGGGGUUCUGAGAGGAAGGUCCCCCACAUUGGAACUGAGACACGGUCCAAACUCCUACGGGAGGCAGCAGUGAGGAAUAUUGGUCAAUGGGCGAGAGCCUGAACCAGCCAAGUAGCGUGCAGGAUGACGGCCCUAUGGGUUGUAAACUGCUUUUAUAAGGGAAUAAAGUGAGAGUCGUGACUCUUUUUGCAUGUACCUUAUGAAUAAGGACCGGCUAAUUCCGUGCCAGCCGCCGCGGUAAGAC